UAAUGAGGUGGUUGAAUUUGG
rnacentral:siRNA from 1 species